AUCCCAUGAUGAGGACAUUUGCUGAGCAACUCCUUGAACCUUUCCCAUAAAUCAUACAAGGAUUCUCAAUCAUUCUUAAAUAAAUUGUUUAUCUAACCCUUAACCAU